rfam:Escherichia coli str. K-12 substr. MG1655, complete genome.
GUCGGUUUGAAAGACAGACAGCAUACAAAGUAGUUUACUAAAGCAGUUCUCAUUAUCAGGCAUUAUCCCCUUCUUUUGAGUCUCUCUCCUGAACACUAAGUAGUUUCUGUAUUAAAGCCCUGUUUGCCGAAAGGCCCAAAAUGAAGGAAGUAAAAUAUGUCUAAUAAAAUGACUGGUUUAGUAAAAUGGUUUAACGCAGAUAAAGGUUUUGGCUUUAUCACUCCUGAUGAUGGCAGCAAAGACGUUUUCGUCCAUUUCACCGCCAUCCAGAGCAAUGAAUUCCGCACGCUGAACGAAAAUCAGAAAGUUGAAUUUUCUAUUGAGCAGGGGCAACGUGGCCCCGCGGCAGCGAACGUUGUUACGCUCUAAGGUUGCCAUUAUUACUCAACAUCUCCAUUUCCGCUGUCCAUGUUGUCAUGGUUC